AUAAGUGGCCAUGACUGGAAGACACCAGAUCCCAUUUGAUCUUGGAAGCUAAGAAGGUUCAAGCCUGGUAAGUAAUUGGAUGGGAAAUCAGCAAGGAAAAUGAAUGUGAUGUAGGCAAUAUUUAUC
rnacentral:rRNA from 11 species